rnacentral:rRNA from 1 species
GACGAACGCUGGCGGCGCGCUUAACACAUGCAAGUCGAGCGAAGCGGCGGACGGGUGAGGAACACGUGAGAAACCUGCCUUAGACAUUGGGAUAGCCUCGGGAAACAGGGAAUAAUAACAAAUGGUCUAAGAUGGACUCGGGUCCCAUUAGCUAGAUGGGAGGUAACGGCCCACCAAGGCGACGAUGGGUAGCAGGCCAGAGAGGGUGAACGGCCACAUUGGAACGGAGAAACGGUCCAAACUCUACGGGAGGGAGCGGUGGGGAAUAUUGCACACUGGAGGGAACCCUGAUGCAGCGACGGCGCGUGAACGAAGAAGGCUUUCGAAUCGUAAAGUUCUUUUAUAUGGGAAGCGGUACCAUAAGCAAAAGCCCCGGCUAACUACGUGCCAGCCGCCGCGGUAAUUC